AAAGAAAACUAUCGGUGAUGGUUUCUGUUUCACCUACACGUGUCCGGUGACCAUUGGAUGGAAGAUCAACGGCAGAGAUGUCAUGAUACGAACUUUUUCCCUCGCUUUUUGAAGUGGACCCCCACAGUAGAAUAUAAUGCUGAUGUGGCGGGGAGCAUGCAUUAAGUUGAUGUUAGCUGGGAGAGGCAGCCAGGUGGGUCUGGUGCCACGUGUUGGUAUGGCAAGUGGGCUUUGACAGCUUGUUCGUACGCAACUCAUCAAUAACUCGCCACAACGCUGGAGUAUUGCAU
rnacentral:lncRNA from 1 species